UCCUGUGAGGGCCGCUGUCACGCGUGGCUGUCGCUGCUGCUUGCGGCGUUGUGCCCAGGGGAAGGUUCAUGUGCUUGCCUAAAUCAGACACACGGGAUUGGCGAACCUUCCGGCUGCUAGGAGCAGCGGCAAGAGGAGGAGUGUUGCCAGCAUGAGGACGAGCAAGGGAUGGCGAUGCUUGCAACCUAUGGCUGAACUGGAGAAUGGAGCAGCUUUAAUAGUGGAGGCUAAGAAGAACCCUCUUUCAAGGAUAUCUACCCAGGUGGCUAGACCACUCUUAGGAGGCGCCAAAAUACUGUUUUCCUCUUUCCCAUGGAAGAAUUUGAACUGAACUUGGACCUUCCACACACGCACCUGAUUGGAAGAAAACUACGGAGUUGGUGGAUAAAAGGCACAACUGCCAUUUUGUUUGGGCCUAGUCUGGCAUGAAUAAGGAAUGAAGUGAGAAAGUAGCAGAUGAAUCAACAGAAGUCAGGGUAAGUCACCUGUGCUUUAGCAAACUCCAGAACAAGACAUAACGCCAUUUAAAAAUUGAAAGACCAAAAAAAAAAAAAAAAUUGGACAGUCCUCUAUUAUCAGCUUUCCAUCUUUCAGCUAAAUGUCUCAGUUAAGGAAGAGUUGAUUUAUGCCAAUAUUCAUAAUCAGUAACUUAAGAUCACAGAGGUUCCAACAGAAGUUCUAAUAUUGAUGUUUCUGGUUACUUAAACAUUACAGUAGUUUCUUAAGACCCAGCAGAACAUUCCUUUUUGUCAGAUUCUUGAUAACAGUAACUCUUUGGCCUUUUCAUUCAUUAAAAGAAUGACAAGAAAGGCAUUUUUCCAUGUGCAUGUUCACAUUUCCACUUCUUGACACCUUUACUAGGCAGUCUUAAAAGUAAGUUUUUAGGCCAGACUCAGACUUAUCCCUCUGUUUUAUUCCUCAGAACCACUACAGAGAAGCUAUAUGGAGAUCAGAAAACAUGAAAGGCACAAACCAAUUAUCUGAAACACAGAAUUUCUAUCCCCUGUAAAGACGUGAAGAUCAUAAGACCGUUUAUUUUCUUCAUCAUAGUUAUUAUGUAAAAAUUAGUUUCAAAGUAGUAAACAUUCUAAAAAUUAAUCAGGAAGAGGUAUUCUCCUACCUAAUCCCUUUUUUUUAAAAAAAGCACUUCCAAAAAUAAACUCUAAAAACAUGCCAGCACCUCAACUCUCUGCUUAUUCCAAUGAAAGUCCUUUUCUUUUGAAAUCCUUUUCAGGUCCUAAAGCAAGCAGUCGAAAUUAGAAGUCCUAAAUCACAUUUCUUUCUUUGGAUCUUUUAAUCUAAACUACAUAAUUAAGUAAGAGAAGCAAACACUUCAGCUGAAAUUGGCUUUUUGUUUUAUGGUCCACUGCUCUCACUACAUGCAAUAUUUUAUCAUAUUAAAAGGUAAGUAUAACUCUGAACUAUGUUGCCCAUGUAAAUUCCCAACCCUCAAUUUCAAUUUGAAAUUUUUUGGAUUUCAAAAAAACCCAGCAACCUCAGAUUCUUGUUCUCCCUGUAGCAGAACAGCAUGUGCGGCACAAACCUAAAUGCCUCUCAGUUCAUUCAUUGUUGGGUGUUCCUAGUAUGAUACACGACUUUCUACAGGAGCACAAGUAAUGGAAUAUUUACAGACAAAAAAAAAUUUCCAGUGUGCAGAAGGUAAGGAGUACUGGUUGCUGUGUUCCUCAAUCUUGAAUUAUGUCAAUACUCGUAAACUGAAUAAUACCAGAGCCUACUUUAUUUCUGAGGCAAAUUGCCAGGUCUGGCCCUGUCCAUAUUAUUAAACUCUUUUAACUACCAAAACGGGCUGCAUCUAAACUGCCAACUGGGGCUGCGCUAGCCCAUGAACUAUGCCAGAGACUGCUUGGGAGAAAGCUGGUUGGCCUGGGCCGAAAGCAGGGACUAUGGGGACAAUUUAAUAGUGUAGGUAGCUGUGUUCAAGUGCCUAGUCCCGAGCCCUGGCACUGUUUAAUUUGCUAGUAUAGUCGUAGCCCUCGUGAUUCACAACCAGCAAUCUCAAGUAAAGGGAUGUGCACUCAGAAUGCACUUAAAACAAAAAGGUCGCCGUUGUCAUUUACUUCUAAAAGGCAGAUCUCAAGUCUUUCUACUGAGAAUAUGGACUGAGCCUGUUACUGUACAUAUCCAAAACAGAUGUGCUUUUUAAGGAAGCUUUAGAGGCUGAGCUAAAUCCUAGCUUGUUUGUAAUAAACGCUAAUACGUGUGAGUACUUUUUUGCCCAGCCUCCAAAUUAUUCGAUCCCUCAGUUUGUUCAGCAAAUAAAGACACAGCUCUGAAACGCUUGACAUUUUUAAUAAAAGGAGGACUUGAAGUUUGUGGUCUGGUUUUCCCUUGACCAGUGUAUGAUUUAGUAAAAAUACUGACAGGUAAUUAUAUAUAUCAAAUAUAUACACCAUAUGUGGCAUUUGAUAUAUAUCAAAAUAUUGCUAUAUAAUUUGAUACAGGUCUGUAAAUAUUGUUGUCAAGAAUUUGGGGUGAGGAUCUUAGGCUGAAGGAAUACUGAAUAGAUAGAGCCCGUGAUAGCUUGCAUUUUCCUAGUCCUUCUAGUUGAUGAAAAUCCCAUGACAACCUCAGAUGUAGGGCACCUGAGAUUCAAAUAAUUGAUCCCACAAGCUUUUCAGGACCACAUUACAGUUAUUUGGAGAAGUAAGUGUCUCUUGUUGAUGGAAAACAACAUAAAACUGCUGAGAACUUGAAAGAAAACAAUGGUACCUUAAAUGGAGAUAAACAUAAAUUAGCGGUUGUCAGGGACGUUCAUAAUAUGU